AUUGAACGCUGGCGGCAUGCUUUACACAUGCAAGUCGAACGGUAACAGGCCACAAGGUGCUGACGAGUGGCGAACGGGUGAGUAAUGCAUCGGAACGUGCCCAGUCGUGGGGGAUAACGCAGCGAAAGCUGCGCUAAUACCGCAUACGAUCUAUGGAUGAAAGCGGGGGACCGUAAGGCCUCGCGCGAUUGGAGCGGCCGAUGUCAGAUUAGGUAGUUGGUGGGGUAAAGGCUCACCAAGCCAACGAUCUGUAGCUGGUCUGAGAGGACGACCAGCCACACUGGGACUGAGACACGGCCCAGACUCCUACGGGAGGCAGCAGUGGGGAAUUUUGGACAAUGGGCGCAAGCCUGAUCCAGCAAUGCCGCGUGCAGGAAGAAGGCCUUCGGGUUGUAAACUGCUUUUGUACGGAACGAAACGGCUCUGGUUAAUACCUGGGGCUAAUGACGGUACCGUAAGAAUAAGCACCGGCUAACUACGUGCCAGCCGCCGCUGUAACAC
rnacentral:rRNA from 1 species